UACGUAGGUGGCGAGCGUUAUCCGGAAUUAUUGGGCGUAAAGAGCGCGCAGGCGGUGACUUAAGUCUGAUGUGAAAGCCCACGGCUCAACCGUGGAAGGUCAUUGGAAACUGGGUCACUUGAAUGGAGCAGAGGAGAACGGAAUUCCAUGUGUAGCAGUGAAAUGCGUAGAUAUAUGGAGGAACACCAGUGGCGAAGGCGGUUCUCUGGGCUCACAUUGACGCUGAGGCUCGAAAGCGUGGGGAGCGAACAGGA
rnacentral:rRNA from 1 species